AGCCUGCCAGUGAUUUAAUUCAACGGCCGCGGUAUCCUAACCGUGCGAAGGUAGCGUAAUCACUUGUUCUUUAAAUGAGGACUAGUAUGAAUGGCAUCACGAGGGUUAUACUGUCUCCCUUUUUUAAUCAGUGAAACUAAUCUCCCCGUGAAGAAGCGGGGAUUAAACUAUAAGACGAGAAGACCCUAUGGAGCUUUAAACUAAACAGCAACUGUUCUAAACCUAUUUUCCCCUUCAGAGCCAUAUUCCUUAUUUUAACAUUAUGUCUGUUAGUUUUCGGUUGGGGUGACCGCGGAACAUAAAACAACCUCCACGAUGAAAGAGACUAUAUCUCUAAACCUAGAGUUACUACUCUAAGUAUCAAAAAUUUGACAUCUAUUGACCCAAUCUAUUGAUCAACGAACCAAGUUACCCUAGGGAUAACAGCGCAAUCCACUUCAAGAGCUCUUAUCGACAAGUGGGUUUACGACCUCGAUGUUGGAUCAGGGUAUCCUAGUGGUGCAGCCGCUACUAAAGGUUCGUUUGUUCAACGAUUAA
rnacentral:rRNA from 1 species